rnacentral:rRNA from 1 species
AACGAACGCUGGCGGCAUGCCUAACACAUGCAAGUCGAACGAGACCUUCGGGUCUAGUGGCGCACGGGUGCGUAACGCGUGGGAACCUGCCUUUAGGUCCGGAAUAACUCAGAGAAAUUUGAGCUAAUACCGGAUGAUGUCUUCGGACCAAAGAUUUAUCGCCUUUAGAUGGGCCCGCGUUGGAUUAGCUAGUUGGUGGGGUAAAGGCCUACCAAGGCGACGAUCCAUAGCUGGUCUGAGAGGAUGAUCAGCCACACUGGGACUGAGACACGGCCCAGACUCCUACGGGAGGCAGCAGUGGGGAAUAUUGGACAAUGGGCGAAAGCCUGAUCCAGCAAUGCCGCGUGAGUGAUGAAGGCCUUAGGGUUGUAAAGCUCUUUUACCCGAGAUGAUAAUGACAGUAUCGGGAGAAUAAGCUCCGGCUAACUCCGUG